UNGCCAGUCACUCGUGCACAGGAUCACUC
rnacentral:piRNA from 1 species